CAUGCCAUUUGCAUGCUACCAUAUGCAUGUCAAUUAUGGCAAUAGGGAUUUGAAUACCAUAUUAUACUCAUAUUCUCAUCACAAAGAACAUUGUAAGUAGAUUUAUAAAUCAGGAAGAGUGGGGUCAGAGUUAUAUUUGCUUCUCUUGGGGAGGGGAAAAGGGAAAAAAGACAAACCAUCAACAGAUAAUAAAUAGAAAAUAAAGCCUCCCUUUCAUUUUCCCCACUAUAAUUAUAUUCCAGUCCCUUUAACUUAUACUGAUUCUUGGAUCCUAUUUAUCAGAGUUAUCCUAAUAAUUCUUAUUUAGGUUCAACCAUAAUCUUGUCUUACCUGUCAUAUCAUUUACAAACACAUAUUCAAUGGUGCCUACGUAUCAUCUAUCAUGCAUCAAUGACAAGAAUACAAAGAUAACUGCUCAAGGUUGGACCCUAACAUAAGCCUUGUAUUUAUUGUUGCAACUGUGUCCCAUAUUUAGAGGAAGGCAAGGAAAAGGGCCUGGGAGGUUCUUCUGCGCAGGGGCUGAGGCCCACGGAGUGGCCUGAAGCCUUAAGGUUUGAAGGUGCCUUUACAAGUAUAUUAUGACCUUUUAGGGUUUCGAAGGUAUCAUCUUCUUGUAUUAGCAUUCUGAGUGAUUCAGGCUGGGACUCCUGAGCAACUUCAUAUGGAGAUUUUCCACCAGCUUUUUGCUUUCCACCAUACCACCAUAUAGUAAAGCUUUCUCCAUUAGACCAUAUAGCCAGAUCACAUAAAUUGCUGUGUUCCAUAUGUUUAAAUUGCUAUCUCUCCUCAACUGAAGAACCUUAGCUAUAGCUACCUGCUGCAGCAUCUAUAUUAUUAAUAGUCAGUUCACAUUAAUGCUUUAUCACAUAAUCCAACAACAAUGUCCAAUUCUUGAAUGACGAUGGUUUUAAUGGAAUAUUACUGUUUAUGCUGCUCUGUCUAUAGGAUAUAAAUGAUGGAAAAAGUAUGAUAACUAACCAUCCUUAAUCCCAUCUGCCGAUUGACUUUACGGAUCUCAAUAGGACCCAUUAAGGUCUGAGAAAUUUUAUAAACCCUAAAAAGAAGUGCUCUCGAAUUAGGGUCAACUUUUUGCCAAGGCAACUUGAGGCAAAAGAGGGCCCUGAACAAAAAUGGAAGGCAAGUCAGUGAGAAAGAAAAACUACCUUAUCCAGUAGGCAGUUCAAGCAUAUACAACUAGGAAGCAAACCUCCAAGAUUCUCCAGAUAACUAGGAAACAAAACAAGUUCUUUGUUCAUGAAUAAGGGAAGAAAGAGACAAGUCCACAACUCCUACCAGAGUUUAUGGAUAUUUCUGCAACCUGGUGAAAUCUCGAUUCUCUGUCCUUACUUUUAUCAUAUGUAUAACAUUUGACAAAGUACAGCUGAUCAAAGCUGUGUACUGGAAGCAUGAGAAUCGUCCGUAGGUGCGUGUGAAUAGCUUGCAAGACAGCAACCCAUGAUAUGAUGCC
rnacentral:lncRNA from 1 species